ACUUCCGGGAGGGGGUCUGUCAUGAGAGGUUUUGUCAUACCAGAAACCAAGAAGGUUCAAAAGAAGUUUGAUUAAGAAUAACUCGGGUCGUUACUGGUUUGAAUUCAUUCGUUGAUCGGGGGUCAGAUUGAUCUAAAGUAAAAGGAUUAGUGCGGGAUGUGAGGAGAAAUAUUUCACGAAACCUUCAAACUGUCUGGACGGUUUUUCUUUGGAUCUGCUAGACUAACGACCAGGUGCUGGAAGAUGGGGUAGUUUUCUUUUCUCCCAACUGCUGUGAACGUGACGGACUGAAUGGCCGCUUUUUAUGCUGCAACUUCUCCGUGGUUCCGUAAAGACAGUUUUGUGACACUUGCUACAAUUUUAUCACAACAAAGGAUAUACAAGCAUUGGAGGCAAUGCUUCCCUUUGUGGAAGAGCCUAGAACCAGAGGAUAUGACCCGAGUAAGGGGUCACUCGAUUAGGACAGCAAUGAGGAGGAAUUUCUUUACUCAGAGGCUAGUAAAUCUGUGGAAUUCUUUACUAAGCAGCUGCGCCAGCCCUCUGCAAAAGCUAAAGUCUUCGGUUCACCAAGGCAAUACUUUCCUGUGAUAUCACUAAGAAAGAUCCUUUGGAGAAAAGAAAACUAUAAAGCUUGUAUGAUUCUAUGACUAUGGCUCUAUAACUCGACAUCUGGAAUGUUCCUAUUCCAGGUUUUCUGGUUUUUUAGAGUUUUAUCCCUUUGUUGGGACCAUGGAGAUUAUAUUGACUGUUCUCAUACUGCUGUAAGAAUUGAAUCUGUUCAUGAAGAUGUAUAAUAAUCAGGUGUUUGGUUACGGGUUGGGAGUUUCAUUAUCUAUUAAUCCCUGAUUAUAGAUCAUGCCAAUCUGAUUUGGAUGUGUCGGAGAGCUGAUUUAUAGACCAACAUUUGGACAGCUCUUCUUAUAAACCAUCAAGAUGAUGACAGCGUUAUCAAUCAAUCUGUUGUUUGUAUAGAAAGCCAGUGACUGAUGUGAGAUCUGUUGGAUAAACCUUCUUAUCAGCAGAAGGAAGAGAUCAGUGGGAGGAAGUGGGGAACCAUUAAGACAUGUUAAACUUCCCAACAGUCUGGGGCGGUUUGGAUGGAACUCAUGUAACCAAUGGGUACCAUACGUCUGCCAAAGUGCUGUCCUAUCCUUUCAGUUCUGAGUAUAGCAGAGCUGAGAAACUGGCUGUCGUUGGUCAGCUCAGAUCCCUCUAGUGAUGCAAUUUUCACUUGUCAUUUAACCCCUCUCCCCUGCACCCCUCCAGUCUUUUUCUUUCUCCACCCACUCCUGGCUGCCUUCCUACAUCAAGAUUUUGAAUGACUCAUUACUGCAGGAGGUGGUUUCCUCAGUUGCAGUUGCUGUUACUGUACACGUACAAUGCUUGUAAUUUCCCUUUUGAGAGCUUCUGGUUUGUCCAAUAUUGUGACUCAACGUCAACUAAAUUUUCCAUAAGUUCCUAUUCACAAGUAGCCUAUUCAAAUGAAGAACCAACCAAUACUGUUCCCUGGCCAACAUCUCUGUCUCUGGCUUGCUGCAGUGUUCCAGUGAAGCCCAAUGCAAGCUGGAGGAACAACACCUCAUUUUCCGCUUGGGGACCCUACGGCCCUCCAGAUUCAAUAUUAAGUUCAAUAAUUUUGGGGCCUGAACGCUCUCAUGUCCCAGCCCCCCACCCCACACACACCAAGCCUUGUUAUCACAUAGCCUGCCAUUGUACCCCCUGUUGUUAGUCACUAACAGUCCCCAUUAACAACUAUUCACCCUCCCAGCCUGAUCAUUAGCAACUCCUUUGUCCAACUGUCUUUCUCUCUCUUUGGGCUCUAUCCUAUCGUUUACUCCCUACCCCACCCACUUCCCUAUUUUCUGCAUAUAAACUGACAUUUUCUCAGCCACCAUCAGCUCUGAGGAAGAGUCACCGGACCCGAAACAUUAACUCUGUAUUUUCCUUCACAAAUGCUGCCAGAUCUGCUGAGCUUUUCCAGCAACUUUGUUUUUGAACCGACCAAUAUAGCCUGACACUGAUGAAGUUACAAAAUCAGGCCCAUUGUAUCUCUGAACAUUCAUCAACAAUCUAUUAACUGUCAUCUUGUGCUGUUACUCAGUAUAAUUUCAUGUUGGAUUAAAUUGAAGACAUGAGUAAAGCUGUGUUUGUUGAUACCAAGAAUUUCAUUUAUACUGUUUCCUGUCCUGAUUAUAUUAAACCUUUAAAGUAAACAUUGGCAGAAUUAAAUUUAAUACACCAAUCUUUAUGGUUAUUCAAAAAUUGUGUCAUUAAUAUUUUUAUAUUGAUGCUUUUAACCAAUAAAUUAUAAUUUCUUUGGAAAA